rnacentral:rRNA from 1 species
CCUACGGGUGGCAGCAGUGAGGAAUAUUGGUCAAUGGGCGAGAGCCUGAACCAGCCAAGCAGCGUGAGGGAAGAAGGUACUAUGGGUUGUAAACUUCUUUUGUAAGGGAAUAAAGUGGAGGACGUAUCCUGCUUUGAGUGUACCUUAAGAAAAAGGAUCGGCUAACUCCGUGCCAGCAGCCGCGGUAAUACGGAGGAUUCGAGCGUUAUCCGGAUUUAUUGGGUUUAAAGGGAGCGUAGGCGGGUCGUUAAGUCAGUGGUGAAAGUCCGCGGCUCAACCGCCGGAGUGCAGUUGAUACUGGCGUGCUUGAGUUCAGUAGAGGUACGCGGAAUGCGCUGUGUAGCGGUGAAAUGCUUAGAUAUCACGAAGAACUCCGAUUGCGAAGGCAGCCUGCUGGACUGUAACUGACGCUGAGGCUCGAAAGCGUGGGUAUCGAACAGGAUUAGAUACCCGGGUAGUC